AUCAACAACAACACAACAACACAACCAUUACACAACAUUCAGCUCUGACACUUACAUCCGUCUCACUGAACGUCCUGCUUCCUAUCAUAAUAAUAGGUCUGUUGAUGGCAAGAUGUCGGAAACAAAAAAAAAAGAGUCUAAAACCACAGCCGAAUGCUGAAGUCGAGUUGAGCAGAUUAAAAACCUGAAUACAGCUGAGUUUGCAGAAGUGGAGUUUUGUCUGUGUGAAUAACAUUGCAGUGAGGCCGGCAACAUUUUUACAUCACAAACCAACAAUAAAAUGAAGACAAACACAAUAUAAAUCUGUCUGUCUGUAUAG